rnacentral:rRNA from 1 species
UAGGGAAUCUUCGGCAAUGGACGAAAGUCUGACCGAGCAACGCCGCGUGAGUGAAGAAGGUUUUCGGAUCGUAAAACUCUGUUGUUAGAGAAGAACAAGGACGUUAGUAACUGAACGUCCCCUGACGGUAUCUAACCAGAAAGCCACGGCUAACUACGUGCCAGCAGCCGCGGUAAUACGUAGGUGGCAAGCGUUGUCCGGAUUUAUUGGGCGUAAAGCGAGCGCAGGCGGUUUCUUAAGUCUGAUGUGAAAGCCCCCGGCUCAACCGGGGAGGGUCAUUGGAAGCUGGGAGACUUGAGUGCAGAAGAGGAGGGUGGAAUUCCAUGUGUAGCGGUGAGAUGCGUAGAUAUAUGGGGGAACACCGGUGGCGAAGGCGGCUCUCUGGUCUGUAACUGACGCUGAGGCUCGGAAGCGUGGGGAGCAAACAGG